GACGAACGCUGGCGGCGUGCCUAAUACAUGCAAGUCGAGCGCAGGAAACCGUCUGAACCCUUCGGGGGGACGACGAUGGAAUGAGCGGCGGACGGGUGAGUAACACGUAAAGAACCUGCCCACGGGUCUGGGAUAACCACGAGAAAUCGGGGCUAAUACCGGACGGGUCAUCGGACCGCAUGGUCCGAGGAUGAAAGGCGCUCCGGCGUCGCCCGUGGAUGGCUUUGCGGUGCAUUAGCUAGUUGGUGGGGUAACGGCCCACCAGGGCGACGAUGCAUAGCCGACCUUAGAGGGUGAUCGGCCACACUGGGACUGAGACACGGCCCAGACUCCUACGGGAGGCAGCAGUAGGGAAUCUUCCACAAUGGACGAAAGUCUGAUGGAGCAACGCCGCGUGAACGAUGAAGGCCCUCGGGUCGUAAAGUUCUGUUGUAAGGGAAGAACAAGUGCCGCAGGCAAUGGCGGCACCUUGACGGUACCUUGCGAGAAAGCCACGGCUAACUACGUGCCAGCCGCCGCCGUAA
rnacentral:rRNA from 1 species